GCGAAUUUCAGUUUCUUGUUUAAUUGCCCCGCCUGAUUUAGUAAAUUAGUUUCCUUCUCAUUUAUUAAUUCAUAAUUUUAGCAUAGAAUAGAUUAAUUAAGAGAGAUACGAGGGGAUGAAAGAGGAUUCGAUGAAGACAUGGGCUCAAAGAUAUUGUUUUCAGUGUUUUACCAAUGAACAAGAAAAAAAAAACCUCUAAGAUGCGCUAUCGGAACAAGACGAAUCUUAAAAGUUUAUCAUGCCACUAGAACAUUGGUGGGUGAUUAAUCAGAGUAAUUCCUAUGAUAUUUUGAAUGUUGGAGAGUUGAAGAUCACAGAUUCGAAUUAAACAGAAUGGAAGAUUGGAAUUGAACAUCCACUUAUUUACUUUUGUAUCAUGAUCAGUCUAAUGGAGCACCAUUAGCAUUUUUCUAAUUUCUUUUCCAUUAAAAAUUUAUACAAAUUUAAGAAUCGAUUGUGUUAAUCUUUUUCUCAUUCUGAAAUUUUGUUACAAUUCACCCAUAAUACCAUCAUGUAUGGAUAAUAAGGUUCAACUAAUAAACUCUUGCUUUUCAUU